rnacentral:rRNA from 1 species
AUUGAACGCUGGCGGCAGGCCUAACACAUGCAAGUCGAACGAGUGGCGGACGGGUGAGUAAUGUCUGGGAAACUGCCUGAUGGAGGGGGCUAACUACUGUAAACGGUAGCUACUACCGCAUACCAUCGGAUGUGCCCAGAUGGGAUUAGCUAGUAGGUGGGGGAAAGGCUCACCUAGGCGACGAUCCCUAGCUGGUCUGAGAGGAUGACCAGCCACACUGGAACUGAUACACGGACCAGACGCAUACGGGAGGCAGCAGUGGGGAAUAUUGCACAAUGGGCGCAAGUCUGAUGCAGCCAUGCCGCGUGUAUGAAGAAGGCCUUCGGGUUGUAAAGUACGUUCAGCGGGGAGGCGUUACCCGCAGAAGAAGCACCGGAUAACUCCGUGCCAGCCGCCGCGGUAAUUC